AAAAAAGAGGCAUGAUCAAAAUUUUAGAACUUGAUCUUUCUAUUGCUAAAGAAUGUACAAGGUUAGAUACCAAUUCUAGGACCCAGACACCCUCACUCGAUGCCGUUUGAAAUGGUGACUUCCUUGAGAAGUCAAUCUCGCUCAGGUGCAUCUCCAGAAACUCUUCUUGCACUUGGGUUGCCUGUGUGUGACCAAACCUUCUCAAAUUCAGCUGGACAUGGUUUCUCAAACUUCUGAUCUGAUGCUUCGUUAGUGUUGUUCCUAUUUAGGUAGGACGGUGCCCUUCUUGGGCUUCCAGCCACCGGAGUGGAAGAGCAGAAAGUUGGGGUUGCAAAUGGAGAGGCAAAAGGGCUGUGUCGGAUGGAGAAGGGACUAGGAGACAUUCGUUUCUGGAUAGGAAGACCACCCAAACCACUUCUGUUGAAUAGCGACAUCGAUUCUGCUGCAGCACAUCGCUUGGUGGCAUCAUCUACAAAAAGAACGUCAUCUAUCCUUGCCAUAACGUUGAAAGCCAAGCUCUCCAUUACUCUCGAGUAGCUUUCAAGAAUCGAUUGUCCAAUAUCCUUGUUAUAUUGAAUCUUG
rnacentral:misc_RNA from 1 species